UACAGAGGGUGCGAGCGUUGUUCGGAAUUACUGGGCGUAAAGCGCGCGCAGGCGGCCCUUUAAGUCUACCCGUGAAAUGCCGGAGCUCAACUCCGUGCACGCCGGGGGAUACUGGGGGGCUGGAGACAGGUAGAGGCAAGCGGAAUUCCGGGUGUAGCGGUGGAAUGCGUAGAUAUCCGGAAGAACCCCUGAGGCGAAGGCGGUUUGCUGGCCUGAUCUGACGCUGAGGCGCGAAAGCAUGGGGAGCGAACAGG
rnacentral:rRNA from 1 species